CGCUUCUCAUCUUCAAAGACCUUGGCCUCCUCGGGCUUUAUCAAGUUUCCAUUUAAGCUGUUGGAGAAAAAGAACACAACCUCUAAAUAAUGGAUUUCCUCCAGGCUUGGGGCCCAGCCCUCUUCCCCCAGAAGAACCUCAUCUAUCCCUGGCCUCAUCUGUAUGUCAGUGACCUGGGCAAGACCUCCCUACUCCGGAGCCUCUUACCUACUUGACGUUUUCAUCUGGAUGCCUCCCAGGUACUCAUAGUGGGCACCUCUCCCCAGGGUGCCCUAGCUCUGUGAAUGGCACCACUCUUCCUCCAGUUGUGCAAAUUAGUAACCUGGAGGUUAACCUUACCACCUUCCCCACCUUCAUAUUCUGUCACAAAGUUUUGUUUCCUAAAUAUCCCUAGCAUGGCUCUUGGAAUCUCUCCACAUGUUCCCCCCACCGUCCUGAUCUGAGUACCUAUCACCUCUUCUCUGCCUCACUGUGCUGUCCUGCUAACUGUCCCUUGACGUGGCCUCUGCGGCCUUUCCCAGUCCACUUUCCUACAGGAGCCAGGGUGGUUUUUUUUUUU